GACGGUGUGAGAGCGGUAAGAUGGCGGCGGCGGCGGUGGUGGAGUUCCAGAGAGCCCAGUCUCUACUCAGCACCGACCGGGAGGCCUCCAUCGACAUCCUCCACUCCAUCGUGAAGCGUGACAUUCAGGAAAACGAUGAAGAGGCAGUGCAAGUCAAAGAGCAGAGCAUCCUGGAACUGGGAUCUCUCCUGGCAAAGACUGGACAAGCUGCAGAGCUUGGAGGACUCCUGAAGUAUGUACGACCCUUCUUGAAUUCCAUCAGCAAGGCUAAAGCAGCUCGCCUGGUCCGAUCUCUUCUUGAUCUGUUUCUUGAUAUGGAAGCAGCUACAGGGCAGGAGGUCGAGCUGUGUUUAGAGUGCAUCGAAUGGGCCAAGUCAGAGAAAAGAACUUUCUUACGCCAAGCUUUGGAGGCAAGACUGGUGUCUUUGUACUUUGAUACCAAGAGGUACCAGGAAGCAUUGCAUUUGGGUUCUCAGCUGCUGCGGGAGUUGAAAAAGAUGGACGACAAAGCACUUUUGGUGGAAGUACAGCUUUUAGAAAGCAAAACAUACCAUGCCCUGAGCAACCUGCCGAAAGCCCGAGCUGCCUUAACCUCUGCUCGAACCACAGCAAAUGCCAUCUACUGCCCCCCUAAAUUGCAGGCCACCUUGGACAUGCAGUCGGGUAUUAUCCAUGCAGCAGAAGAGAAGGACUGGAAAACUGCGUACUCAUACUUCUAUGAGGCAUUUGAGGGUUAUGACUCCAUCGACAGCCCCAAGGCCAUCACAUCUCUGAAGUACAUGUUGCUGUGCAAAAUCAUGCUCAACACCCCAGAAGAUGUCCAGGCUUUGGUGAGCGGGAAGCUUGCACUUCGGUAUGCAGGGAGGCAGACAGAAGCAUUAAAAUGCGUGGCUCAGGCUAGCAAGAACAGAUCACUGGCAGAUUUUGAAAAAGUGAGUAUGAUAUUGGGUUGGUAUGGAAUGUGGGUGGAAGAGAGGGACAUUUAAGUACUUCAAAACACACUUUUAAAAAUAAUUAUAGUUUCAAAAGAAGUUGCAAAUGAUUCCAUGUAUCCUUCACCUAGGACAGUAUUAAAACCAGGAAAUAGUUAAGCACUUUUGUACAAUGAAACUUACUGAGUUGAUAUAAAAUAUAUAUUAUUUAUACAUAAUACCUUUCUAUUUCAAAAGUUCUUUCUGU
rnacentral:sRNA from 1 species